rnacentral:sRNA from 1 species
CACUAGCCCUGAUAGCAGCGGAAAUCCUUAUAUGCCGUGGUUCGGGCAUAUAAGAUUGUAGUGAAUAGCAGGAAAUAGC